rnacentral:rRNA from 1 species
AAAGCGUGCGCAGGCGGUUAUAUAAGACAGAUGUGAAAUCCCCGGGCUCAACCUGGGAACUGCAUUUGUGACUGUAUAGCUGGAGUGCGGCAGAGGGGGAUGAAAUUCCGCGUGUAGCAGUGAAAUGCGUAGAUAUGCGGAGGAACACCGAUGGCGAAGGCAAUCCCCUGGGCCUGCACUGACGCUCAUGCACGAAAGCGUGGGGAGCAAACAGGAUUAGAUACCCCUGU